rnacentral:rRNA from 1 species
AAACCAACUGGGAUUGCCUUAGUAACGGCGAGUGAAGCGGCAAAAGCUCAAAUUUGAAAUCUGGUACCUUUGGUGCCCGAGUUGUAAUUUGGAGAGUACCACUUUGGGACUGUACUUUGCCUAUGUUCCUUGGAACAGGACGUCAUGGAGGGUGAGAAUCCCGUGUGGCGAGGGUGUCAGUUCUUUGUAAAGGGUGCUCGAAGAGUCGAGUUGUUUGGGAAUGCAGCUCUAAGUGGGUGGUAAAUUCCAUCUAAAGCUAAAUACAGGCGAGAGACCGAUAGCGAACAAGUACAGUGAUGGAAAGAUGAAAAGAACUUUGAAAAGAGAGUGAAAAAGUACGUGAAAUUGUUGAAAGGGAAGGGCAUUUGAUCAGACAUGGUGUUUUGCGCCCCUUGCCUCUCGUGGGCUUGGGACUCUCGCAGCUCACUGGGCCAGCAUCGGUUUUGGCGGCCGGAAAAAACCUAGGGAAUGUGGCUCUGCGCCUCGGUGUAGAGUGUUAUAGCCCUGGGGAAUACGGCCAGCCGGGACCGAGGACUGCGAU